rnacentral:rRNA from 1 species
CCCUUAGAUGUUCUGGGCCGCACGCGUGCUACACUGAGUGGAUCAGCGGGUCAGGUUGCGCGAAAGCGUUUCCUAAUCUUUAAAUCCGCUCGUGAUGGGGAUUGACGGUUGCAAUUUUCUGUCAUGAACGAGGAAUACCUUGUAAGCGCGGGUCAUCAUCCCGCGCUGAAUACGUCCCUGCCCUUUGUACACACCGCCCGUCGCACCUACCGAUUGAGUGGUCCGGUGAAGACCUCGGACUGUGGCUGCGGUUGCUUGAUUGCGACUGUGUGCUGUGGGAAGUUGUCUAAAUCUUAUCACUUAGAGGAAGGUGAAGUCGUAACA